rnacentral:sRNA from 1 species
CUGGGCUGGAACUCAUGAAUCUUUGUCUUCUGCCUGCCAAGUUCUGGGAUUACAGGUAGGCACCAUCAUGCCAGCUUUUGCCACCUUUUGGAACAACGCUCUCUGUUGUUUUGUUCAUACCUUUUUGUCUCUUCUCGGUGUGUUUCCUGAGAACUGCGCUUUGUGAUGUCACCCAAUGUGGGUGACUGGACUCAGUACGUAGCUGGUGCUCACUAAAUAUUUGUGGACUGAACAGGCCACUGAACAGCAAAGGAGUGAAUGGCUGACUGUGGUAACUGCUCUCAGGACAGCUGAGGACUGGCACAUGUGGUGGCGUGAUAGUUCACAAGGUGGCUGAGUAGGAGGCUUUAGAAUUCCUCUCUCCCAACGCCAGCAGACUCUGGCUGUGCCUGCAGGCAAAAUCUGAGAAGUCCGUAGCUGGUCAUGGAGCAGAGGGACAAAGGCUUCAGACUCUGUGGUGCUGCAGGCACUGGGGACCACUGGGCUCUGGAUCCUAGUUGAUGACAAGAGGUUCUUCUGGCUGAGAUGGAUGGAGGUCGGGGACUCAAGAGGAGGGGCUGUGCCUUUAAGGUACAGCUUGCUGCAGGAGCAGGGCGCGUGCACUUUCUCGUGUGCACAUGUGUGUAUACACACACACACACACACACACAUACACACACACACACACACACCAGUCUCUUGCACAGUCGUGUAGUCAUACAGUCAUACGCACACCCCCAAGCUCUGUUUUCUCUUCCCAUCCCCCAUAUAUUCCCUCACUUCUCUUUCCCUUCCUCUUCCCCCUCCCUCCUCUCUCCAAGGCACUCGCAGAGGCGGCUCUCCCUCUCCAGCUUUCCCCAAGGUCUAGUUUUUUGACAACAGGAGCAAGGGAGGAAGAGCAGGGCAAAGUGCUCUGACCCAGAAUUGGGCUUGGCCUCCUCCUAUGCCUCUGGUCUAGGAAAAGGGCUUGUUUUUCAAUUUGGCAUGCCUGUCUGAGGUCAAGGCUGGAGGAGGAGGGUAGAGGACCUGCUCAGGAGGAGGGGAGAGAGAGGGAGAGGUUGCUUGGCCAUGGGCCCAGGCUGUUGGACACAAACCCAAGUAUUGGGGGGGGGGCUCUCCCACUCAUGAAGAAAAAAAUGAGGCUCACUUCCAGCACAAGGGAGCAGGCUUAGGGAGAAAAGUGGCUAUAAUUUGGGCUUGGUCACAGAAAGACAAGCCAGUGACCUUUUGACUCAGGAGGCAGGGGCCCUCUAUUCUUCUAGAUCAUUUUAUACCUUCAGUCAAAUGCUGGGCUAGGAAUUUUCUUUCGGUUCUGGGGAUCAAGCCUAGGAUCUAUUGAAUGCUAAGCAGGCAUUUCCUUCAGCUUACCGUGCCGCAGGUGGAACCCAGGGCUUGUGGGUCCUAGGCAAGUGUUCUACUGGACUACAUUUCAAUAUACAGCACAGCGACUCAGCCCAGCCAGCGCUCAAUCAAGCUCCCCGGAAUCAAAGAGUGAGCAACAGUUUAGUGGAUAUCAGGUUGGGGAUUUAGCUCAGUGGUAGAGCGUUUGCCUAGCAAGCGCAAGACCCUGGGUUCAGUCCCAAGCUCCAAAAAAACAAAAACAAAAACAAAAAAAACAGUUUAGUGGAUAUCAUGGUGCCACCAGUCUGUGAGCUGUCAUAGGUCCCCACUUCCUGUAGGUAAGGCACCUAUACAGGGAAAGCAGAGAUCUUACAGCCAUUACCCAGGCCCCUGCUAAUAGCAGAUGUGUUCUAGCCUCUACACAGCUUGUGGUCCACUUGCAACCUAUACUGUAAACCCUUCUUUCUAAUCAGUCGAACAUGGCGCCUCGAGUCUGGAAUCCCAGGCACAUGAGAGUCAGUUGCUGGAGGGAGGCUCAUGAAGUUCUAGGACAGCCUAGGCUACAUAGAACCCCUGUCUCAAAAACAAACAAACAAACAAACAAACAAACAAAGAAUUCCACAUUCUUCUUGAAGAGGCUGGAAUCAAAUUUUUGCUGUCUCCUUUCAG